GUAAAGGUGUCUUUGGACACCACCUUUUUUCUUCAAAAUUUUAU
rfam:Picea glauca, whole genome shotgun sequence.